rnacentral:rRNA from 1 species
GUUUAAUUUCGACGCAACGCGAAGAACAUUACCCAGGCUUGAACUGCAGGUGACACUCUACGAAAGUAGACUUCCGCAAGGACGCCUGUAGAGGUGCUGCAUGGCUGUCGUCAGCUCGUGUCGUGAGAUGUUGGGUUAAGUCCCGCAACGAGCGCAACCCUUGUCUUCUGUUGCCAUCGGGUUAUGCCGGGCACUCUGAAGAGACUGCCGGUGACAAACCGGAGGAAGGUGGGGAUGACGUCAAGUCAGCAUGGCCUUUAUGUCUGGGGCCACACACGUGCUACAAUGGCCGGUACAAACCGUCGCGAGCCCGCAAGGGGGAGCUAAUCGGAGAAAGCCGGUCUCAGUUCGGAUUGUAGGCUGCAACUCGCCUGCAUGAAGUUGGAAUCGCUAGUAAUAGCGGAUCAGCACGCCGCGGUGAAUACGUUCCCGGGCCUUGUACACACCGCCCGUCACAUCACGAAAGCUGGCUGUACUAGAAGUAGCCCCGCCAACCCGCAAGGGAGGCAGGUUCCUAAGGUAUGGUCAGUGAUUGGGGUGAAGUCGUAACAAGGUAGCCGUAA